AGCGAACGCUGGCGGCAGGCUUAACACAUGCAAGUCGAGCGGAUGUAGCAAUACAUCAGCGGCAGACGGGUGAGUAACACGUGGGAACGUACCUUUUGGUUCGGAACAACACAGGGAAACUUGUGCUAAUACCGGAUAAGCCCUUACGGGGAAAGAUUUAUCGCCGAAAGAUCGGCCCGCGUCUGAUUAGCUAGUUGGUGAGGUAAUGGCUCACCAAGGCGACGAUCAGUAGCUGGUCUGAGAGGAUGAUCAGCCACAUUGGGACUGAGACACGGCCCAAACUCCUACGGGAGGCAGCAGUGGGGAAUAUUGGACAAUGGGCGCAAGCCUGAUCCAGCCAUGCCGCGUGAGUGAUGAAGGCCCUAGGGUUGUAAAGCUCUUUUGUGCGGGAAGAUAAUGACGGUACCGCAAGAAUAAG
rnacentral:rRNA from 2 species